rnacentral:rRNA from 1 species
GGUGAGUAACACGUGGGUGAUCUGCCCUGCACUUUGGGAUAAGCCUGGGAAACUGGGUCUAAUACCGAAUAGGACCAUGGCAUGCAUGUGCUGUGGUGGAAAGCUUUUGCGGUGUGGGAUGGGCCCGCGGCCUAUCAGCUUGUUGGUGGGGUGAUGGCCUACCAAGGCGACGACGGGUAGCCGGCCUGAGAGGGUGUCCGGCCACACUGGGACUGAGAUACGGCCCAGACUCCUACGGGAGGCAGCAGUGGGGAAUAUUGCACAAUGGGCGCAAGCCUGAUGCAGCGACGCCGCGUGAGGGAUGACGGCCUUCGGGUUGUAAACCUCUUUCGCCAGGGACGAAGCGCAAGUGACGGUACCUGGAGAAGAAGCACCGGCCAACUACGUGCCAGCAGCCGCGGUAAUACGUAGGGUGCGAGCGUUGUCCGGAAUUACUGGGCGUAAAGAGCUCGUAGGUGGUUUGUCGCGUUGUUCGUGAAAACUCACAGCUUAACUGUGGGCGUGCGGGCGAUACGGGCAGACUGGAGUACUGCAGGGGAGACUGGAAUUCCUGGUGUAGCGGUGGAAUGCGCAGAUAUCAGGAGGAACACCGGUGGCGAAGGCGGGUCUCUGGGCAGUAACUGACGCUGAGGAGCGAAAGCGUGGGGAGCGAACAGGAUUAGAUACCCUGGUAGUCCACGCCGUAAACGGUGGGUACUAGGUGUGGGUUUCCUUCCUUGGGAUCCGUGCCGUAGCUAACGCAUUAAGUACCCCGCCUGGGGAGUACGGCCGCAAGGCUAAAACUCAAAGGAAUUGACGGGGGCCCGCACAAGCGGCGGAGCAUGUGGAUUAAUUCGAUGCAACGCGAAGAACCUUACCUGGGUUUGACAUGCACAGGACGCCGGCAGAGAUGUCGGUUCCCUUGUGGCCUGUGUGCAGGUGGUGCAUGGCUGUCGUCAGCUCGUGUCGUGAGAUGUUGGGUUAAGUCCCGCAACGAGCGCAACCCUUGUCUCAUGUUGCCAGCACGUCAUGGUGGGGACUCGUGAGAGACUGCCGGGGUCAACUCGGAGGAAGGUGGGGAUGACGUCAAGUCAUCAUGCCCCUUAUGUCCAGGGCUUCACACAUGCUACAAUGGCCGGUACAAAGGGCUGCGAUGCCGUGAGGUGGAGCGAAUCCUUUCAAAGCCGGUCUCAGUUCGGAUCGGGGUCUGCAACUCGACCCCGUGAAGUCGGAGUCGCUAGUAAUCGCAGAUCAGCAACGCUGCGGUGAAUACGUUCCCGGGCCUUGUACACACCGCCCGUCACGUCAUGAAAGUCGGUAACACCCGAAGCCGGUGG